GUGGAGGGCCGGGCGGCCGCCGCCGAUCGCAGGAUCGGGGGAGGAAAGUCCGGACUCACUGAAGCAUCGGUGCCGGGUAACGCCCGGGCAGGGCAACCUGACGGAAAGCGCCACAGAAAACAGACCGCCGUCGCACCGGAGGUGCGCCAAGGGUUCGCCCGAGGCCAAACGAAGGGCACUGCGACGGUAAGGGUGAAACGGUGGGGUAAGAGCCCACCGCGCCCCCGGCAACGGGGGUGGCAUGGCAAGCCCCACCGGGAGCAACGCCAAAUAGGGACGUCGCGCGGGGCAUGAUCCUUUCGGGGAUAUCGCCGCAGGGCAGCUUUGGCCCGAGACGUCCGGGUUGGCAGCUAGAGCGCGCGGGCAAUCGUGCGCCUAGAGGAAUGGUCGCCGAACGGGGGCAACCCCGGGAACAGAAUCCGGCUUACAGGCCCUCCACGCAU
rnacentral:RNase_P_RNA from 1 species